CCUACGGGUGGGCAGCAGUGGGGGAUAUUGCACAAUGGGGGAAACCCUGAUGCAGCGACGCCGCGUGGGCGAAGAAGUACUUCGGUAUGUAAAGCUCUAUCAGCAGGGAAGAAGAAGUGACGGUACCUGAGUAAGAAGCACCGGCUAAAUACGUGACAGCAGCCGCGGUAAUACGUAUGGUGCAAGCGUUAUCCGGAUUUACUGGGUGUAAAGGGAGCGCAGGCGGCACGGCAAGCCAGAUGUGAAAGCCCGCGGCUCAACCGCGGGAGUGCAUUGGGAACUAGCAGGCUGGAGUGCCGGAGAGGUAGGCGGAAUUCCUAGUGUAGCGGUGAAAUGCGUAGAUAUUAGGAGGAACACCGGUGGCGAAGGCAGCCUACUGGACGGUGACUGACGCUGAGGCUCGAAAGCGUGGGGAGCAAACAGGAUUAGAUACCCGUGUAGUC
rnacentral:rRNA from 1 species